rnacentral:rRNA from 1 species
UACGAAGGGGGCUAGCGUUGUUCGGAGUUACUGGGCGUAAAGGGCGCGUAGGCGGCGCACCAAGUCAGGCGUGAAAGCCCUGGGCUCAACCCGGGAAUUGCGCUUGAGACUGGUGCGCUCGAGUACGGGAGAGGAUGGUGGAAUUCCCAGUGUAGAGGUGAAAUUCGUAGAUAUUGGGAAGAACACCGGUGGCGAAGGCGGCCAUCUGGACCGUAACUGACGCUGAGGCGCGAAAGCGUGGGGAGCGAACAGG